GCUGGGUAUGGUGGCGUGUGCCUGUAGUCCCAGCUACUCAGGAGGCUGAGGCUGGAGGAUUGCUUGAGUCUAGGAGCUCUGGGCUGUAGUGCGCUAUGCCGAUCGGUUGUCCGCACUAAGUUUGGCAUCAAUAUGGUGACCUCCUGGGAGCGGGGGACAACCAGGUUGCCUAAGGAGUGGUGAACCGGCCCAGGUUGGAAACGGAGCAGGUCAAAACUCCCGUGAUGAUCAGUAGUGGGAUUGUGGCUGUGAAUAGCCACUGCACUCCAGCCUGGGCAGCAUAGCGAGGCCCCAUCUCUU
ensembl:misc_RNA Metazoa_SRP Metazoan signal recognition particle RNA